rnacentral:misc_RNA from 1 species
AGUUCGGGACUCGUUUCGAUCGUCCGCUCGGAUUCUCCUCUCGGAGAUGUCGUCGGUUCGGUCGUCGUGUGCCGGCUCGUGAUGGGACGACGCGUGAGUGGCGACAGAGAUAUGUUCCGCGCAGGCUCCGUGCUUUUAGCAUCGAACUGCGUGGGCUUUUCUCCUUCAUUUGCGAGCUCGCGUUACCGCUUCCAGCGGCGGUCGUGUUCGCUCGUUUGGGUUCCUGCGUGUUAUAUCGGACUCGAUAUUGGGAAUGGCUUUUGUCCCGGCUCAUUUUGUGAUUCCUCCCCCGCUUCGUGCGGUGUCGGUGGCUAUUGUGUUUGUAUUGGCAAUCGUCGUACGAGUUGCGUCGUCGCUCGUGAUGGCUUUUGCCGAUGCAAUCGGCCUUCUCGGAUGCAGAGAAUUUCUGAUCGUCGCAUCGGUUAUCGGCCGUUGUGAGCGUAACGUUACUAAGCUUCGUCGCUUUUGUUUCAUGACCCUCGUUUUCCUCCGAGAGCUCACGGAGCUUUGAAGUUCUGUGUCGUGACCGGAGAGCGAACGAGGUCGAGGACGGAAUCUACCUGGUUGAU